GGAGGAGUACCCAAGUGGCUGAAGGGGACGGUUUGCUAAACCGUUAGUAGUCGUAAGGCUAGCGAGGGUUCAAAUCCCUCCUCCUCCGCCA
rnacentral:tRNA from 1 species